rnacentral:rRNA from 1 species
GUGGGGAAUCUUCCGCAAUGGACGAAAGUCUGACGGAGCAACGCCGCGUGAGUGAAGAAGGUUUUCGGAUCGUAAAGCUCUUUCGUUAGGGACGAACGUGCUCUUUGUGAAUAAUGAGGAGUAAUGACGGUACCUAAAUAAGAAGCCACGGCUAACUACGUGCCAGCAGCCGCGGUAAUACGUAGGUGGCAAGCGUUGUCCGGAAUUAUUGGGCGUAAAGCGCGCGCAGGCGGGAUAUCAAGUCUGUCUUAAAAGUGCGAGGCUCAACCUCGUGAGGGGACAGAAACUGGUAUUCUUGAGUGUCGGAGAGGAAAGUGGAAUUCCAAGUGUAGCGGUGAAAUGCGUAGAGAUUUGGAAGAACACCAGUGGCGAAGGCGACUUUCUGGACAAGACCUGACGCUGAGGCACGAAGGCCAGGGGAUCAAACGGGAUUAGAUACCCCUGUAGUCC